ensembl:lncRNA
CCUGGGGGGCAAGCAGAGGCAGAGUGAAGGCGGAACCCUUCAGGAGGCCGGCGGCAAGGACGAUGAGGGCUCAGUCCCUCAGGAGACCUGCAGUGGCACAGAACCCCCUCAGAAGGCCGGCAGCGGUGAAGGCGGAACCCUUCAGGAGGCCGGCGAAGGCGAGGUAGAGGGCGGGUCCCCUCAAGAGGAAGGCCAGGUAGAGGGCGGGUCCCCUCAGGAGGAAGGCCAGGUAGAGGGCGGGUCCCCUCAGGAGGCAGGCCAGGUAGAGGGCGGGUCCCCUCAGGAGGCAGGCCAGGUAGAGGGCGGGUCCCCUCAGGAGGAGGGCCAGGCAAAGGGCGGGUCCCCUCUGGUGGACAGGGUAGAGGGCGGGUCCCCUCUUGUAGAAGGCCAGGCAGAGGGCGGGUCCCCUCUGGUAGAAGGCCAGGCAGAGGGCGGGUCCCCUCUGGUGGACAGGGUAGAGGGCGGGUCCCCUCUGGUAGAAGGCCAGGCAGAGGGCGGGUCCCCUCUGGUGGAAGGCCAGGUAGAGGGCGGGUCCCCUCUGGUAGAAGGCCAGGCAGAGGGCGGGUCCCCUCUGGUAGAAGGCCAGGUAGAGGGCGGGUCCCCUCUGGUGGACAGGGUAGAGGGCGUGCCUCCCCUGGACGGUCUGGAGGGCGGACCCCCUCCGGUGGAAGCAGAGGCCGGUACCCCUCUGGAAGGAGCAGGGGGCGGGCCCCCUCAGGCAGGAGCGGAGGACGGACCACCUCAAGCAGGCGACCAGGCCGGUACCACUCUGGAAAGCGAGGAGUGGGCUCAGGAACCGGACAGGGCUCGGGGACCGGAGUCAGUGCGGGAGCUGGAGUACCAGGAGGAACCGGGUGGUUCCCCACACCCUCCCAGCGCUCCAUUGUCUUAUUUAUUUUGGCUAGUAAAUCCUCCAACUUACGGCCAAAUUGAGCGUCCGCUGGGUCCCAUCGGGGUGCUG